rnacentral:rRNA from 1 species
AGCGAACGCUGGCGGCGUGCCUAACACAUGCAAGUCGAACGUGAAAAGGGAAACCUGAGUAAAGUGGCGUACGGGUGAGUAACGCGUAGGUAAUCUACCCCAGAAUCUGGAAUAACCUGCCGAAAGGCGGGCUAAUACUGGAUAGAGCGAGGGAACUCGUAAGAGAGUUUUUCGGGAAAGGGAGCCCGCAAGGGCCUUCGUUCUGGGAUGAGCCUGCGUCUCAUUAGCUAGUUGGUAAGGUAACGGCUUACCAAGGCGAUGAUGAGUAGCUGGUCUGAGAGGAUGAUCAGCCACACUGGAACUGAAACACGGUCCAGACUCCUACGGGAGGCAGCAGUGGGGAAUCUUGCGCAAUGGGCGAAAGUCUGACGCAGCCACGCCGCGUGAGUGAAGAAGGCCUUCGGGUUGUAAAGCUCUGUCGGAUGGGACGAACAUCUUCAUAGUGAAUAGCUAUGAGGACUGACGGUACCAUCAAAGGAAGCACCGGCUAACUCCGUG